rnacentral:tRNA from 1 species
UGCUAGAAGGAGGGCUCAAACCUCCAACCUUGUGGUUAACAACCACACGCUCUAGCCAACUGAGCUAUUUCAGC